UAGCUAGUUGGUGAGGUAACGGCUUACCAAGGCGACGAUCUGUAGCGGGUCUGAGAGGAUGAUCCGCCACACUGGAACUGAGACACGGUCCAGACUCCUACGGGAGGCAGCAGUGGGGAAUCUUGGACAAUGGGGGCAACCCUGAUCCAGCCAUGCCGCGUGAGUGAAGAAGGCCUUCGGGUUGUAAAGCUCUUUCGGCCGGGAAGAAAUCGCAUGGGCCAAUACCCUGUGUGGAUGACGGUACCGGAAUAAGAAGCACCGGCUAACUACGUGCCAGCAGCCGCGGUAAUACGUAGGGUGCGAGCGUUAAUCGGAAUUACUGGGCGUAAAGCGUGCGCAGGCGGUUUUGUAAGACAGGCGUGAAAUCCCCGGGCUCAACCUGGGAACUGCGUUUGUGACUGCAAGGCUAGAGUACGGCAGAGGGGGGUGGAAUUCCACGUGUAGCAGUGAAAUGCGUAGAGAUGUGUAGGAACACCAAUGGCGAAGGCAGCCCCCUGGGUCGAUACUGACGCUCAUGCACGAAAGCGUGGGUAGCAAACAGGAUUAGAUACCCUGGUAGUCCACGCCCUAAACUAUGUCAACUAGGUGUUGGGUGGGUAAAACCAUUUAGUACCGUAGCUAACGCGUGAAGUUGACCGCCUGGGGAGUACGGCCGCAAGGUUAAAACUCAAAGGAAUUGACGGGGACCCGCACAAGCGGUGGAUGAUGUGGAUUAAUUCGAUGCAACGCGAAAAACCUUACCUACCCUUGACAUGCCAGGAACUUGCCAGAGAUGGCUUGGUGCCCGAAAGGGAGCCUGGACACAGGUGCUGCAUGGCUGUCGUCAGCUCGUGUCGUGAGAUGUUGGGUUAAGUCCCGCAACGAGCGCAACCCUUGUCGUUAAUUGCCAUCAUUUAGUUGGGCACUUUAGCGAGACUGCCGGUGACAAACCGGAGGAAGGUGGGGAUGACGUCAAGUCCUCAUGGCCCUUAUGGGUAGGGCUUCACACGUCAUACAAUGGUCGGUACAGAGGGUCGCCGAGCCGCGAGGUGGAGCCAAUCCCAGAAAGCCGAUCGUAGUCCGGAUUGCAGGCUGCAACUCGCCUGCAUGAAGUCGGAAUCGCUAGUAAUCGUGGAUCAGCAUGUCACGGUGAAUACGUUCCCGGGUCUUGUACACACCGCCCGUCACACCAUGGGAGCGGGUUCCGCCAGAAGUAGGUAGCCUAACCGCAAGGAGGGCGCUUACCACGGCGGGGUUCGUGACUGGGGUGAAGUCGUAACAAGGUAGCCGUAGGGGCCUGCGGCUG
rnacentral:rRNA from 1 species